rnacentral:rRNA from 1 species
GACACGGUCCAGACUCCUACGGGAGGCAGCAGUGGGGAAUAUUGCACAAUGGGGGAAACCCUGAUGCAGCCAUGCCGCGUGUGUGAAGAAGGCCCUAGGGUUGUAAAGCACUUUCAGUAGGGAGGAAAUGUUAACGGUUAAUAACCGUUAGCUUUGACGUUACCUACAGAAGAAGCACCGGCAAACUCCGUGCCAGCAGCCGCGGUAAUACGGAGGGUGCGAGCGUUAAUCGGAAUUACUGGGCGUAAAGCGCACGCAGGCGGUCUGUUAAGCUAGAUGUGAAAGCCCCGCGCUCAACGUGGGAGGGUCAUUUAGAACUGGCAGACUAGAGUCUUGGAGAGGGGAGUGGAAUUCCAGGUGUAGCGGUGAAAUGCGUAGAUAUCUGGAGGAACAUCAGUGGCGAAGGCGACUCCCUGGCCAAAGACUGACGCUCAUGUGCGAAAGUGUGGGUAGCGAACAGGAUUAGAUACCCUGGUAGUCCACACCGUAAACGCUGUCUACUAGCUGUGUGUGCCUUUAAGGCGUGCGUAGCGAAGCUAACGCGCUAAGUAGACCGCCUGGGGAGUACGGCCGCAAGGUUAAAACUCAAAUGAAUUGACGGGGGCCCGCACAAGCGGUGGAGCAUGUGGUUUAAUUCGAUGCAACGCGAAGAACCUUACCUACACUUGACAUGCUGAGAACUUUCUAGAGAUAGAUUGGUGCCUUCGGGAACUCAGACACAGGUGCUGCAUGGCUGUCGUCAGCUCGUGUCGUGAGAUGUUGGGUUAAGUCCCGCAACGAGCGCAACCCUUGUCCUUAGUUGCCAGCACGUAAUGGUGGGAACUCUAAGGAGACUGCCGGUGACAAACCGGAGGAAGGUGGGGACGACGUCAAGUCAUCAUGGCCCUUACGAGUAGGGCUACACACGUGCUACAAU